GAACUAUUUGACUUGUGGACUUCACAGAUGGACAUUGUCAAUAUCUACUGGACUAAAGAAAUUCUCUACUAAGCAGAAAAGGAAUUGGUCUGUAUUGAAGCUGGAAAAAAGAAAAUCAGAGGAGCCAAUGCUGUCAGAGUCCAUCCAAGGGCCAUUUAAAGAUGUCCUGGAAGGAGGUCUGGGCUGUCAGGUCCUGCCAGCAGAAUGAAGAGGACAUGGAGGCAUUUUCAGAUGAAGAGAAACUAACAGGAUUUGCCAGCAGACUUACUCUAAAUAAAUGGCUACAGGAAAUACUAUACAAAUAAAGGAAAUGAUAAAAGAAGAAACUUUGUAAC